rnacentral:rRNA from 1 species
GAAUACAGCCACACCACUCUGAACACGCCUGAUCCUGUCUGAUCUCAUGAAGCUAAGCAGGGUCGGGCCUGGUUAGUACUUAGAUGGGAGGAAUAGAUCUUGAAUUUU